AUGCCUAACAGCUAGCCUACCCAAACACACUUAAAUAUUAUGAGCCUAAAAACUUAAACCAACAUAAUUAAAUCAUUCUAACCCCCAGUACAGGCGAUAGAAAAGGAAAACAGCGCAACAGAAAAAGUACCGCAAGGGAACGCUGAAAAAGAAAUGAAACAACCAAUUUAAGCCCCAAAUAGCAGAGCUUACCCCUCGUACCUUUUGCAUCAUGAUUUAGCAAGUCAACUACAAGCAAAGAGCCCUUUAGUUUGUAACCCCGAAGCUGAUGCGAGCUACUCCAAGACAGCCUUCAAGGGCAAACCCGUCUCUGUGGCAAAAGAGUGGGAAGAGCUUCGAGUAGAGGUGACACAUCUACCGAGCACAGUAAUAGCUGGUUGCCUGGGAAAUGAAUAGGAGUUCAGCCCUUUAAUAUAUUCCCGUAUCACAAUUGCUCUUAUACUCAUAUAGACACCGGAAACUUAAAGGAGUUAGUCGAAAGGGGUACAGCCCUUUUGAUAGAAGAAACAACUUUUACAGGUGAUUUAGGAUCAUA
rnacentral:rRNA from 1 species